rnacentral:rRNA from 1 species
AGAGUUUGAUCCUGGCUCAGGAUCAACGCUGGCGGCGUGCCUAAUGCAUGCAAGUCGCACGGGACACUUUCGGGUGUUCAGUGGCGAACGGCUGAGGAACACGUGCGUAUCUGCCUUUCCGUGGGGAAUAACGGGUGGAAACACCCGCUAAUACCGCGUACGCUUGCUUCGGCAAGGAAAGCCCUUCGGGGCGCGGGGAGAGGAGCGCGCGGCCCAUCAGGUAGAUGGCGGGGUAAUGGCCCACCAUGCCGGUGACGGGUCGCUGGUCUGUGAGGAUGACCAGCCAGACUGGGACUGCGACACGGCCCAGACACCUACGGGUGGCAGCAGCAAGGAAUCUUCGGCAAUGGGCGCAAGCCUGACCGAGCAACGCCGCGUGGAGGACGACGGCCUUCGGGUUGUAAACUCCUUUUCUGUGGGAUGAUACGGACAGUACCGCAGGAAUAAGCCCCGGCUAACUCUGUGCCAGCAGCCGCGGUAAUACAGAGGGGGCAAGCGUUGUCCGGACUUACUGGGCGUACAGCGCGCGCAGGUGGUCGGCUAAGUUCGUGGUGACAGCGUGCGGCUCAACCGCACACGGUCCAGGGAGACUGGUCGACUAGAGGCAUCGAGAGGGAUACGGAAUACCCGGUGGAGCGGUGAAAUGCGUAGAGAUCGGGUGGAACACCAGCGGCGAAGGCGGUAUCCUGGCGAUGACCUGACACUGAGGCGCGACAGCGUGGGGAGCAAACGGGAUUAGAUACCCCGGUAGUCC